UACGUAGGGUGCAAGCGUUGUCCGGAAUUAUUGGGCGUAAAGAGCUCGUAGGCGGUCUGUUGCGUCGGCUGUGAAAACCCGAGGCUCAACCUCGGGCCUGCAGCCGAUACGGGCAGACUAGAGUUCGGCAGGGGAGACUGGAAUUCCUGGUGUAGCGGUGAAAUGCGCAGAUAUCAGGAGGAACACCGGUGGCGAAGGCGGGUCUCUGGGCAUCUCCUGACGCUGAGGCGCGAAAGCGUGGGGAGCAAACAGG
rnacentral:rRNA from 1 species